rnacentral:lncRNA from 1 species
CCCUUUCUUCACCCAUUCUCCUCCUCUCUUUUCUUCUCUACUUUCUCCGUCAAUUCUCCUCCUCCCUUUUCUCCUCUCCUUCCUUUCCAUGGACUUCUCCUCCUCAUCCUUUUUUUUCAAGCCGCCCACAAACUAUCUCUUUUACGAUGGCUUCCUCCACCAUUCAUGUUUACCUUCCCUAUCUUCUUCCUCCCCAUCCUCUUCUCCUCCCUUUCAUCCUCCAUCCUAUUUCUUGUCGACGGCCCCUCUCUCCUCCUCCC